rnacentral:lncRNA from 1 species
GACAAUGUGUAUCUUAAUACACACCUAUUUUAGAUUUUUUUUUACAAAGUUUAACCCUCCAAAUCUGCGUAGAUAUUGUAAUGUGUAUUUCGAUACACCCCUGUUCUUUGUACAGGUAACUACACUGUUCCAAUUUUUAUAUUUGGCGGGAAUAAAUUUGUCAACUUUUCAUAGGUUAGUUCUGUGACGACCGUUGGCCGGGUUCAAUUUACCAACUUUUCCCAAGAUAACGGUAGUUUUCGUGGCGAUUUGUAAAGUUAUUUUAAUUCUGUGAAUAAAAUCGAAUAAGAUUAUGGCUUCCAACAGAACAAAGAGAAUAUACAAUUAGCAACUCAACAAAUAAAUGAUGAGGAGGAUUGUGAGUAUAAUAUUUUAGUUCCCAAUAGAAAUAUUGACUCAGAUAUUGAAAGUGAUAAUGAAGAAUAUAUUAUGUUACCGUCCGCCCUUUAGCAUAUCCUGUAAUAGAGGGUGUUGAUGACGAUGAAUUAGAAAAUUCAUCUAAGUUUACUAUUUUAUCGAAUAUAUUGCUCGAAAACGAGGAGAUCUUGGAAAACGAAGCAAACAAUGAAAAGGUAGAAAAUGCAGAAGGUGCUAAAAACAACGAGCUAGAUGAGCGUAUUGGGUAUGUUGUAGAUGAAACCUUAGCAGAUGAGCUUGAUCAUAAACCUCU